UGUUUGUGAAUGUCUGUGCAAACACACUGAGCAAAACAACAUCACCAUUUUGUGGAACAUGUUGAAUUAACUUAUAAUGUUUAUCUUGUUACUUACUGU